rnacentral:rRNA from 1 species
AGAGCGAACGCUGGCGGCAGGCCUAAUACAUGCAAGUCGAACGCACCUUCGGGUGAGUGGCGGACGGGUGAGUAACACGUGGGAACGUGCCCUUUGGUUCGGAAUAAUCCGGGGAAACCUGGCCUAAUACCGGAUGUGCCCUUCGGGGGAAAGAUUUAUCGCCAUUGGAGCGGCCCGCGUCUGAUUAGCUAGUUGGUGGGGUAAUGGCCCACCAAGGCGACGAUCAGUAGCUGGUCUGAGAGGAUGAUCAGCCACACUGGGACUGAGACACGGCCCAGACUCCUACGGGAGGCAGCAGUAGGGAAUCUUGCGCAAUGGGCGAAAGCCUGACGCAGCCAUGCCGCGUGAAUGAUGAAGGUCUUAGGAUUGUAAAAUUCUUUCAGCGGGGAAGAUAAUGACGGUACCCGCAGAAGAAGCCCCGGACUAACUUCGUGCCAGCAGCCGC